UACGGAGGGAGCUAGCGUUAUUCGGAAUUACUGGGCGUAAAGCGCACGUAGGCGGCUUUGUAAGUAAGAGGUGAAAGCCCAGAGCUCAACUCUGGAAUUGCCUUUUAGACUGCAUCGCUUGAAUCAUGGAGAGGUCAGUGGAAUUCCGAGUGUAGAGGUGAAAUUCGUAGAUAUUCGGAAGAACACCAGUGGCGAAGGCGGCUUACUGGUCCGGAACUGACGCUGAGGUGCGAAAGCGUGGGGGAGCAAACAGG
rnacentral:rRNA from 1 species